rnacentral:rRNA from 1 species
ACAUGCCUACAACAAACCGUUAAUGCACUAGAUCCCAUUAGAGCUUUGCAAUUAAGUGCGCUUGAUCUAGAGUAGUACUAGGAUGGGUUACCACCCAGGAAGUCCUAGUGUUUUACAUGCC